UCAUAAAUGUUUAUUUAAGUUUAAAUUUAAGAAUAUCAAAAUUACAAAAAAAAAAAAACAAUUGUUUUAUAUGAGUUUAAAGUUCAAAUUAUCCAUCAAUGUUUCGUGUUGACGUUUUAAUUCCAUUUUAAGGUUCGUAUAAGUGUGGUACUCAAAACAAACGACAAAUAUUAAUAUUAAAAUAUAAACAUUUCACAUGUAUAUGUAGACUUACUAUUUAAUGUGAAAAUUCUUGUUAUAGUUAAAAUAUAUUAAAGAUAUUAUGUACUGAUUCAUAUUUCUGUUCAGGAACCUUUCAAAUUGGUUUUCUAACAGGUUUGUAAUUGCAAUAACACGAAGAACAAUAAAUCCAAUAUAACAUAUAUUCACAAAAACAAUUCAACAUGGCUCCUUGGAAAUUCUACUCUUGAAGUACCUCUUGACGACACAAUAUUCGUAAGUUGUCAUAAUUGAGUCAAUGUGUAUUAGUUAAGUUUGUUAUAAUUUAACCAACUCAGUACCUGUAUUGCUGCUGUAUGUUUGAAUUAUAAAACUGUGAAGCAAAACGGAAUCGAUAGAUUGAUAUAUUAUAUCAGACUAGAGUUCCAUUCGAGACAGUUGAUUUUCGUGUUGUUUGGUAUAGCGAUCUAAACACGGCAAUCGCAUCAUUAUAAUAAUAAUGGACUGUUUACAAAUAGAACCCACCUUUUUGCUCAAGUACAGGAACAUGACAUGACAUGCUCGUCAUCUUAUGGUAACCGGACAGGCUGACACUAUUGCUGCUCGGAGGGCGGCGCACCACACCAGCAGCACAGCCUCCUACCGACUUUACGGAGUCUCCUCCCUAAAGCCAAUAGGAAUGGCCUGCGUUUUUCCAGCUUUACUUGUCUUGUUUCCAACACCGUUACAUUAUCGGUUGACGAAGUUGCCUCUGACGGCUGUUCUGCACAGGGAACGCUUUCAGCACCAGAUUGAUCUAAGCCUGUCGUGUCGUCUACCGUUGUAGAUACUUUCCUUGGAGCCUCGUCCUGUCCUUGGGUUCCAAAUCGUAGAUGCUCCACACGUCUGUUCUACAGUCGAUCUAAGUAUCAUAUUUAUUGAUCUUUGGACCACAGAAAAUCGCAGGCACUUGUCUAAGGCGUCGGAUAAUACAAGCUUAGCGUUUUUACGGCGUUCCUUCGAUGAAAUCUGGACGACAGGUCUCGUCUCCUACACCGUUACAAUAUUGGUCGACGAAGACGUCUCCGUCGGCUGUUCUGCAAAGGGAACGCUUUAAGCAUCAGAUUGAUCCAAGCCUGUCGUUUCGUCUGCUGUUGAAGUUAUUUUCC